AUGUCAGUCUUUAAGGAUUGCUUCAACCCAAACUAGAAAAUGUUCAAAUUGAACAGUGCAUCACACAAAUCGUCUGUCUGAAGGCAGCUGAGGAGUAAAGAUGGACCACAUUUGCUUUUUUAAUUGAGAAGAAUAAGUGAUGGUUAUUAAAACUACCAGAAAAAUGUGGAAAAAGC